UCAUCCAAUUUUCCAUUACAAAUAUUAACCAAUGUAAAUGGGAUAUUAGUACAACCAAUUGUUAGUAAUACAAAAAUUGAAUACACAAGUCCAUAAUUUCAUCUUUUGUGUGUGUCUGGCUAAUGUUUGGGUUCAAUAUCUUGUUACAGAGAAGGGUGAUAAGCAAUAACACGAGCUAACACAAAAAAUGGAAAGGAUCAUAAAAUUGUUUUCUCAACAAACUAGUGUACA
rnacentral:lncRNA from 1 species